CCUACGGGCGGCUGCAGUGGGGAAUCUUGCACAAUGGGCGAAAGCCUGACGGAGCAACGCCGCGUGCAGGAGGACGCUUUUCGGAGUGUAAACUGCUUUUCUGUGGGAAGAGCAAGGACGGUACCACAGGAAGAAGCCCCGGCUAACUACGUGCCAGCAGCCGCGGUAAUACGUAGGGGGCGAGCGUUGUCCGGAGUUACUGGGCGUAAAGGGCAUGGAGGCGGUCGGACGCGUUUUGUGUGACAGCGGAUGGCUUCACUAUCCGAGUAUGCGAAAGACGGUUUGACUUGGGGGCUCGAGAGGGACACGGAAUUCCGGGUGGAGUGGUGAAAUGCGUAGAGAUCCGGAGGAACACCGAAGGCGAAGGCAGUGUCCUGGCGAGCGACUGACGCUGAGGUGCGAAAGCGUGGGGAGCGAACAGGAUUAGAUACCCCAGUAGUC
rnacentral:rRNA from 1 species